UAAGCCCUCGGCCAAUUACAUGUAUUGCAAGUAUCUUUUCUGACUCUUUAAAAGCUUCCCUUUUGACUAACAUAAUGGAGUCUUUGUAUGAACAGAAGUUCUUAAUUUUUAAAAAAAAAGAUUGUAUGUUUUUAUUCCUUUUUGAGUAAACUCUACACCCAAGGUGGGGCUCGAACUAACGACUUGGCAAUCAAGAGUCACAUGUUCUACCCUCUGAGCCAGACAGGUGCCCCUAGAAGUUCUUAAUUUUAAUGUCAAUCCAAAACGUCAAUAUUUUCCCAUAUACUUAGUGACUUUUGUGCCUGUCUUUUCUUCUGUCCUUGGAACUGCCUUUUUAAAUAUGGUGUGAGAAAUUCCAAUGGGAAUCCAGAAAUGGAAAAAAAAAAACAAAAGGAAAAAAAAAAGGGACGGUCAACCUGCACCUGGCUGGGACACUAUGAAAACCCUGAAGAGCACUAAGAAGACAGUGUCGCUGCACUCCGAGGGAAAAUGGCAAACGCCUGCCAACACUGUUUCUACUGAAGCUUCGGACCCCGAUCUCAAAUAACCAACUACUGGGCGUGCGGUCACUGUGUUGCAGUCCAGGGCCAUGCUCUGACCUUGUGGGUAAGUCUCGGCCUCUACUCUACUCUGUAAACAAGCUUACUCCAUUUGGACCCCAAUACGGGCUCCAGAACCCCAGCUUUGACAACGGGUAAUUAGCAUUGAUGUAUCUAGGGACAUUCAUCCCUUCCGACUAUGAUAUUCCUCAUGCUCAUGAGUUAAAUGAAAUGACAAUAAAAUCUUAGAGAGAAGUGAGGGUAUUCCAUGUGGUUUCUGCUCCAUGUUUCUCCUUUUCUUUCUUUUCUUUUAAUUUUCUUGAUGUUUAUUUUUGAGAGAGAGAGAGAGACAAAGUGCAAGUCGGGGCGGAGAGAGGGACAGU